CAACUGAGAUGUUGGUAGUGUUUGUGUUAAACCUAAUAAGUUUAAGCUUAGACGACUAGUGCCACAGAGACGAGUAAAGUGAAACGCGGUAAACUCCACAAGCU
rnacentral:RNase_P_RNA from 1 species